AAAUUGAAGAGUUUGAUCAUGGCUCAGAUUGAACGCUGGCGGCAGGCCUAACACAUGCAAGUCGAGCGGAAACGAGUUAACUGAACCUUCGGGGGACGUUAACGGCGUCGAGCGGCGGACGGGUGAGUAAUGCCUAGGAAAUUGCCCUGAUGUGGGGGAUAACCAUUGGAAACGAUGGCUAAUACCGCAUGAUGCCUACGGGCCAAAGAGGGGGACCUUCGGGCCUCUCGCGUCAGGAUAUGCCUAGGUGGGAUUAGCUAGUUGGUGAGGUAAGGGCUCACCAAGGCGACGAUCCCUAGCUGGUCUGAGAGGAUGAUCAGCCACACUGGAACUGAGACACGGUCCAGACUCCUACGGGAGGCAGCAGUGGGGAAUAUUGCACAAUGGGCGCAAGCCUGAUGCAGCCAUGCCGCGUGUGUGAAGAAGGCCUUCGGGUUGUAAAGCACUUUCAGUCGUGAGGAAGGUAGUGUAGUUAAUAGCUGCAUUAUUUGACGUUAGCGACAGAAGAAGCACCGGCUAACUCCGUGCCAGCAGCCGCGGUAAUACGGAGGGUGCGAGCGUUAAUCGGAAUUACUGGGCGUAAAGCGCAUGCAGGUGGUUUGUUAAGUCAGAUGUGAAAGCCCGGGGCUCAACCUCGGAAUAGCAUUUGAAACUGGCAGACUAGAGUACUGUAGAGGGGGGUAGAAUUUCAGGUGUAGCGGUGAAAUGCGUAGAGAUCUGAAGGAAUACCGGUGGCGAAGGCGGCCCCCUGGACAGAUACUGACACUCAGAUGCGAAAGCGUGGGGAGCAAACAGGAUUAGAUACCCUGGUAGUCCACGCCGUAAACGAUGUCUACUUGGAGGUUGUGGCCUUGAGCCGUGGCUUUCGGAGCUAACGCGUUAAGUAGACCGCCUGGGGAGUACGGUCGCAAGAUUAAAACUCAAAUGAAUUGACGGGGGCCCGCACAAGCGGUGGAGCAUGUGGUUUAAUUCGAUGCAACGCGAAGAACCUUACCUACUCUUGACAUCCAGAGAACUUUUCAGAGAUGAAUUGGUGCCUUCGGGAACUCUGAGACAGGUGCUGCAUGGCUGUCGUCAGCUCGUGUUGUGAAAUGUUGGGUUAAGUCCCGCAACGAGCGCAACCCUUAUCCUUGUUUGCCAGCGAGUAAUGUCGGGAACUCCAGGGAGACUGCCGGUGAUAAACCGGAGGAAGGUGGGGACGACGUCAAGUCAUCAUGGCCCUUACGAGUAGGGCUACACACGUGCUACAAUGGCGCAUACAGAGGGCGGCCAACUUGCGAAAGUGAGCGAAUCCCAAAAAGUGCGUCGUAGUCCGGAUUGGAGUCUGCAACUCGACUCCAUGAAGUCGGAAUCGCUAGUAAUCGUGGAUCAGAAUGCCACGGUGAAUACGUUCCCGGGCCUUGUACACACCGCCCGUCACACCAUGGGAGUGGGCUGCAAAAGAAGUAGGUAGUUUAACCUUCGGGGGGACGCUUACCACUUUGUGGUUCAUGACUGGGGUGAAGUCGUAACAAGGUAGCGCUAGGGGAACCUGGCGCUGGAUCACCUCCUUAUACGAUGAU
rnacentral:rRNA from 2 species